GCCAUCUUUGCUUGGCUUUUGUAGUUGUUUGCCUAACCUCUUGACUUUGCAAAAGUAUAACUUAGUCCUUUCAAUUUAAAAUUAAAAUGUAAUAGUGUAUAAUCGUAUCCAUAUUAUAUUAGUAGCCUAAGAUUUUUGUUGUUAGGUAGUUUACCUUCAGUUUUUUAGUUUUCUUUCACCAAAGAAUAUCGUUAUUGAAGAGGCUGUCUCCCAAACCAAGAAGCUGUUUUUCAACCAGUUUCCAGAGGCCAAAGAAAAAGAAACAUCGAGACGGUGAUAAAAGAUUGGCUAAGACCGUCAUGAAAUUGAAUUGUUAGCAAGUAGGAAGGAAGGAGAGAAACGACUGAGGAGGGAGAAACGACUGAGGAGGACGAAGACUGCAUCCCAUAAAUGGCUCAUGGACUCAAUCUUUAGAUAAUCUUUAUGUCUUUAAAAUUCAUUAUUAUUUAUAAGUGCAAAGAUCUAAUGUAAUAUUUUUAAAUACAUACAUGUUGGAGUAUAAUGCUGAAUAUUGAUUAAGGCCUACACAUUUGCUAAUGAGGUAAUUUUUCAAAUACCUAUGGAUAAACAUUAACAAAAUUAAAUAUUUUGUAAUGGAUGAUCAAUUUAACAGCAGUAUUACCUUGCUGACUAAAAUAGAAGAAAAUUCACAAAUAAUAAUUCUUUUACCAACAAAGGAGCUAGUAGACCUAAUAAUCCUGUGUUAAAUUGUGCAUUGUCUUUUGAUUUUGUCACUAAGGUAGGCCUAAGAUUUAUAGGCCUGCAUAAAAAAAACGAUAAAAUGCUGGCAUAAAGCCAUCUUUACAAACAGUUUCAAUAGAAAUUAGUUAAUUUAACAAUCAAUAUUGUUAUAUUUUAAAAAGUUAAUUAACCUCAAUUAAAAAUUGUGUAUCAAUCCGUAAAAUUGUCUGA